rnacentral:rRNA from 1 species
CAGUCGCCGCGGUAAUACAGAGGGUGCGAGCGUUAAUCGGAUUUACUGGGCGUAAAGCGUGCGUAGGCGGCUUCUUAAGUCGUAUGUGAAAUCCCUGAGCUUAACUUAGGAAUUGCAUUCGAUACUGGGAAGCUAGAGUAUGGGAGAGGAUGGUAGAAUUCCAGGUGUAGCGGUGAAAUGCGUAGAGAUCUGGAGGAAUACCGAUGGCGAAGGCAGCCAUCUGGCCUAAUACUGACGCUGAGGUACGAAAGCAUGGGGAGCAAACAGGAUUAGAUACCCGAGUAGUCCCUGUCUCUUAUAU